GUGGGCUCCAGCAGGUAGAGGCAGGAGUGGACGAGGGCCCUGACCCCCUCCACCGGGACCUCAGGGUGCUCUGUGGAUACAGAGGACAGAUCCUACACACGCGUCAUUAAGACUUCAUAGUGUGCAAGAGCUUCGUUUGAACUGCAAACAGAAUAAAAAUGAAACGCCCUUUGAUCGACACGCAUCGAUCGACACAAAGCAUCAAAAAGAAAGGCGAUAAUUACUACAGUAUCUGCACUGCUUUGUUAAAAAAAACACAAGCUUGAGACACACAGGAGGAAGGAGAGAGAAGAGGGACGACACACAAUAAAGAUACUCCGGUUGGAUCGAGCCGGGACGUUACGUGAUGAAACGUCAUGAUGGUGAAGAGUCACACGCCAUUGUUGUUGUGUCCGUGUCAACACUCUCAAACGUUGUGUAAAAAAAAAAACAAAUGACGUUUUCCAACAAGUUAUGGGACUUUCUGCUAAGCAGCGCUUUGUUUUUGAUUGUAUCCGUAAUGUUGAAUGCAAAGUAUUUACAAAAGGGUCUUAAAAACUGCAACAUUGAUCUUCUACCACAGACAUUUACCAACUGCAAGUGAAGAUUAAACUUCCUGUUCGACAACAACGUCACUUUUUCCUUUGUUACGCCAUCAUUCACAUCAAAUUUUACAUAAAAUUCACAUUAAUUUAAGUUUUUCACGUCUCUGGUCAAUCCCAGGCUGCCCCUCUGACAUUAAUGUGAAUUGCUCGUGUUGCGUUCAAUGACUCCGUUAACUGUAAGACCACCAAGACAGGAAGAUGCCCCCAAAGUAUGGUGAUAUUUUUUUCUUUUUUUUUUUUAACUGUCAACAAAUCCCAUGAAAAGACCAAAACCAACAAUGAAUUGAUCCACAACAAGUAUAAUAUAUAUCUAUAAUCCAUAUCUUAUUCCUGUUGUCCAAAAACUAUGAAAAACACGUCAUUACCAUGAACACACAGCCAGAAAUACUCAUUAGAGCAAAUGUGGAUUCAUCCGCCACUGAAAAUAGUCCCUAAGAAAUGCAUUAUUUCCUCCUGCUUGUUUGCUAAAAACUACAAAUGAAACUAUCCAUUCUUCACCUGUGACUGUGAUAGAAAUGGUUUUUAUAGGCUGAAUGUGUUCAGACUAGAGUGAUGCAAUUGCAGCUGUUGUUACGUCUGUUUUUAUAAAUUAAAUCAAUUCUUCUUUUCCUGCAAUUUCUUUGUGAUUUCUUUGUAUGACUGCGUGAUGUAAAAUUCCUGAUUUUCCUUUCUC